CGCUGGCGGCAUGCCUAACACAUGCAAGUCGAACGAGACCUUCGGGUCUAGUGGCGCACGGGUGCGUAACGCGUGGGAAUCUGCCCUUGGGUUCGGAAUAACUUCGGGAAACUGAAGCUAAUACCGGAUGAUGACGUAAGUCCAAAGAUUUAUCGCCCAAGGAUGAGCCCGCGUAGGAUUAGCUAGUUGGUGAGGUAAAGGCUCACCAAGGCGACGAUCCUUAGCUGGUCUGAGAGGAUGAUCAGCCACACUGGGACUGAGACACGGCCCAGACUCCUACGGGAGGCAGCAGUGGGGAAUAUUGGACAAUGGGCGAAAGCCUGAUCCAGCAAUGCCGCGUGAGUGAUGAAGGCCUUAGGGUUGUAAAGCUCUUUUACCCGGGAUGAUAAUGACAGUACCGGGAGAAUAAGCUCCGGCUAACUCCGUG
rnacentral:rRNA from 1 species